rnacentral:tRNA from 1 species
GUCAGGAUGGCCGAGUGGUUUAAGGCGCCAGACUCAAGCUUGCUACUGCUUGUGUUCGGGUCUUCUGGUCUCCGUAUGGUAGGCGUGGGUUCAAAUCCCACUUAUGACA